GGGGCAUCGGUAAACACCGGUAACUUUGAACCCGCCUCUAAAAGAGCACCAGAUUCCUAAUCUGGGGGUCACGCGUUCGAAUCGCGUCGGGAUCACCA
rnacentral:tRNA from 1 species